CAGAAUUACAUUCUUCACUAAUGUCAUGCAUAGUUAUUUCCGUCCUCUGUCACAUGAAACAUAAAAAACUAAUAUAUUUUGUAAAUAAGCAAAUCAAGAAGAUAUUAACACGAAUAAAUGCUAUUAAUACAGAAGUACAUAGUAAGUGAAAUAAAUCAUAUAAAUAUAAUUUUUGAUCGCUCCCUAUCAUGUUGUCUCAUUAAGAAGCCUCUCCUUUACAAAUUCAAUAAUAACAACAUACAAAGUAUAUUUUUAUAAAGUAGGAUCUGAAAAUCUUUACAAAUUCAAAUAACAAAAAUAAUUCAAUUGAGAUAAUUAUUUUAUUUUUUUAUAUAAUGAAAAUUGACAUUAAUAAAACAAGCAAACACCACCACAAAUUUUUUUUGUUUGUGUGUACAAAUAACUGAUCUGAGUAAAUAAAAUUUGUAGAUCAUUACUUAUUAAUUUUAUCACUUUAAGUUAAUUAGUAGCAGCACUAACAUUCACUUAAAAAUGAAAUUCUAAUAAAAUCUGUAUAUAUUGGAUUGAUUUCAAUCUAACCACGCUUGCAUUACUUGAUUAGUAGAAAAAAAUCUAAGUUGUAAAUGUAAUCCAGUUAAAAAUUUAUCAUCACCAUGAAACGAAUAAAAACUGUUGAGAAAACUUAUUUAUACAUAUUGAUUUAUUUUAUUUUUAAUUUAAUAUGUAACAAAUUAUUAAAACUAUCCUCAAUUUUGAAAACAUAUUCACAUGCUUAUUAGACCACAACAAAGAAAUAUUUUGUAAGAUUCAGUAAGCUAAAAACUUUAUCAUCUUUUACCUGUUAUAUUCUAAUUGUCAUUAAAAUUUUAUAUUGCAACAUAACAUGCAAAUUUUCAUUAUCUUGCUAUAAUUUGAUGUCUUUGAUUGUUACUUUCAGUUAACGGAAAAGGUACAAAUAUACCCUCAAACUUUGAUAAAUGAUACAAAUAUAGCCCCGUCAUACUUUGAGUACAAAUAUAGCCUUAUCGUUAAUGAAAAGGUACAAAUAUACCCUUACCACUAACGGCGGGAUACGUGUCACAAUCGUGUUCCACCGUUAGUGAUAAGAGUAUAUUUGUACUCAAAAUAUGACGGAGGGUAUAUUUAUUUAAUUUAUCAAAGUUCGAGGGUAUAAUAUACCUUUUUCAUUUUUAUAAUUUACUUUCUCCGUUCCAUAUUAGUUGAUCAUUUUAUUAAAAAUAAUUAUUUUAUAUUAACUGUCCAUUAUACUAGAUCAAUAAAGCAUUGAUUAAAUUUUCAUUAUAUUAUCCUUGUAAUUAAUUCAUUCUGAAAGUCUUCACAUUUGUUUAUAAAGUUUUCAAGAAGUUUUUUAUGGUGUGAAUUUGUAAAAGAAAAACUUACCAAAAUAUACUAUAUUUAAAAACUUUUACCAUUUAUAACUGUAUAAUUUUAAUAUAUGUAUAAUCUUACAAUCUAAUAAGAGGGAAAGGCCAGGAAAGCAGACAACUCUCCGUCAACAUGCCUGCUACUCCUUGAAAUCAUUGAUUUUGUGUUAGAUGAUUCUAUCGAUGAAAAAAAAUAUUUUUAAAAAACUAUUGUCAUUAAAAUUAUGAGCGAAGUUAAAACUCAAUAAAUAUCCAAAUAAAUUUAUUUUUAGCUAUAACUAAGAAAUUAUUUACAAGCAAAUUUAUAAAAAUAUCAAUAUUUCUUCUAUCUAUGACCUUCAUCGAAGCGUAAUUAUUAAAUAUUUUAAAUCAUUUCAUUAUAUAAGAUAUCAAGUUACUUAUAGCCUUUCAAUGUAUUCUAAUUCUCUGGUAACACUUUCUUCUUUACAAAUAAUAUUUUAUUUAAAAUUAUUUAAUUAUGUGAUUUAAAUACUCAAGGAGUAUGAAAACUUAUUAACGACUUGUUUAACAUAUCAUUAGAUUAUACUGAUUAUAAUACAAAUAAUAGUUUUAAAUUAAAAUUAUUAUUUUUUAUACUUUAAGUUUGGGCCCGAGGUUUGCACGGCCUCAUAAAACUAGUUUUAUAUAUAGGUUUCAAAUAAUUAAUUUAGCUUGUUACAUUUAUUUAUUUGUAGGUAAGCAGCAUAAUAGUAUCAAAAAUUAUAGCGUCGGUAAUGUUGUAAAAGUUAAAUAUGUACGAAUUUGAAGGAUUGUUUUUAAAAAUUAUUUUUUUUAUUUUAAUUAAAAACCGACCACUUGUGGUUGGUUUAUUUUUUUAAUUAAAAACCGAUCAUAAGUGGUCGAUUUUUUUAUUUAUAAAAGAAAUAAUAAUUAAUAUAAAAAUUAUUGAAAUAAUUAUUUUGAAAUUUUAAAAUAUAAAAACAACCACUUGCGCCGAUGUGGUUGGUUUUUUUGUUGUCAGAAAUCUAUAUUUUUUUAGUAGUGAUAUCGUUAUAAGUGUAAUCUAUAUUUUUUUAGUAGUGAUAUCGUUAUAAGUGUAAAAAAAUGCGUAUGUUAGAUAAGCGUCUCUUGGGUUUUAAAAUAGAUUGGGUGAGGUAGUUGGUUUAUUAGGUCGAUUAGUAGGUUUGGGUUGAUUAUUUGAAAUAAAAAAAUAAAAAUAAAAAAGGGACAAAUAUACCUUCGAACAACGAUAAAUGAUAUGUAUAUACACUUUAUCAUACUUUGGGUACAGAUAUGCCCUUAUCUUUAGUGAUAAGGGUAUAUUUGUAGCUUUUCAUUAAUGGCAAAGACAUAUAUGUACCGAAAGUAUAACGAGGGGUAUAUCUGUACCAUUUAUUAAAGUUCAGGUCAUAUUUGUACCUUUUCCCUUCAGUUAAUUAGAUAUAGAAUUUUCUCAUUCUUAAAAAUCUAAUAUAUUUUAACACUUUUAAUAAAAUGUGCAAUUAGCAAUAUCAAACUCACAUUCAAAGUUAAAAAAAAGGUACUCAUAUCUAAUGCAUUUUUUUCCUUGUCAUCAUCAAAAAGUUCAAAUCAAGCUUUGACCAUACAUAUCCCAAUUACGCCUUCACCUGCAUAUGUAUGAGUGCCAUGCAUAUUUCAUACAUAUCUCAAUUACUCUAAGCAAAGCAUUUAUUUUAUAUAUAAUUAUGACUUUAAGUGUCAUCACGAUCCUUGAUUUUGAAUCGUGAUAUUUUUACUCUUAUCUAUUGAUGCAAGUAAUAUGAGAUACAUUGAGCAGUUCAUUAUGCUGGUUGUUGUUUUUUUUAAUUUAGAAGACAAAAGUUUAGCUAAAACAAAGAUGUAUGCAUUGAUGCAAAACUUUUAUUUGGGUGAGGUGCUUUGGUAUGCGUUGAUGCAAAACUUUUAUUUGGGUGAGGUGCUUUGGUUGUUUCAGUACAAAGAUUGAAAGAUGAAGAAUAAGGUUUGAAUGAAUGUAAUAUCCCUAUCGAUGUUAUCAAGGAUCGAUUAUAUCAAUUGAGAGAAAAGAAAGACCAUGACAAACAUAUUUCAAAUUAGCAAAAAAAAAAAGAUAAACUUUUGUGCUUAAAAGGGAAUCAUCUCCAUUUCCAAUUUUCUUCUUAAAAUUAAUGACGGCUAAUUAAACUUUACUGUCUUCAGCAGAUAUUAUUCACUCAAAUUUAAUUUUUCUUUCAGUAUUAUGUUUUGCCAAGAUGUGCUCUUAUGAGAAAUGCUCAUUAUUGAAAUUAAUAAAUGAACUGUGCACUUUAAAUUCAUGUUACAGAGGGUAGUGAUCAUGUAUGUUUUUAUGUCUUAUACAAAAAAACUUACUACUUCAAUAUAUCUUCUCGUUAUAUGUAACAUAGUGUAUGAAAUGUGAUUUUAUUCAAAGAUGGAAAAGAAUAACUAUACCUGCUGUCAAAUCGCGCAAGCUUGAGCAUGAUCUCCAACGACUGAACUGCUCUAUAGGUGUUGUUGAUUUUAGAUUUCCCGAUGAAUGUAAUUUCCAUCUCUUGAAUUCACUAAUAGAAAAACAGAAUUAUUUUGAGAGAAUAACGAAUUGCGUCACUUUGUUUAAAUCGUGAUGAAUUGUUCUUGGAUAUGUUCCACCGAAAGAUUCUUUAUUAAAUUGAAAAACGAAUAAACUAAAUGUUAAUAAGUCAAAUACCUAUCUGUUGAAAUCUCAAUUUAUGAACUCAGAUAACUAAUACAACAUUCGAUUAUGG
rnacentral:lncRNA from 1 species